ACGGGGGGCAGGCAGAGGGACGGAGGGACGUCCCAGAGCCGCCCCCCGCCCCCGCCGCCUCUUCCUUUGUCUGGUGCCGCGCACUCGGCAGCCGACCGUUGGUGGGCGCACGGGGCGGUGGUUGAGGCUCACGCUGGCGCAGCCGUUGGGCCUCGCGCCCCCCGUGAGGGGAGCGGGCGCCAGGUUUCUUUGUUGGCCCAGAGGCCGGAAGUGCAGAGACGCCAUUGAAGUUCCUCUUCCCGCCGAAAAGCCACGUGGCUGGGGGAAAAACAUUCUUAUGUUGUGAUGACAGAAGAAGAUGGGGCUAAAUUCAACACGUGUAUUUUUGGAGUAGUUGUGACUAGAAUUUCAGAUUUUUACUUAGCUGAAGGGUGGAUGUGUCUGAGCUUCCAGAAUUAAUGCUCUUUGCAAGCAGUAGUAUUUCUGGUUGUCAAACAGAGCAGGCAAAUUCUACUUUUAGGCUAGGUCUUAAUUUCACUUCAGACAUAAAUGAGCUUUUCUAAUUAAGUUGAAACCUACAGCCUAGACGUUCUGCAGUCUCUCUCUGCUCUUUACAAAGAGCACAGAGAACCUGGGAUGUAGCUUAAUGUGCUUGAAAUUAGCCUUGACUCUUGCAGCUCUGUCUCAAACACUGUUCGCAGUGUUUCCCAUUUAGCAAUGUAGACCUGCCUGUCCAUGUGGCAAACACAUCUUUCUGAUUGUCUGGUGCCCAAACAGACUGGAACGCAUGGACCACAAAACAAAACUUACGGAGGAACAGGAAAUUGCUUAACAAAAACUACCAGCAUAACAAGCAAGUGCGCAGGCACAUUGGUCAGGUUAACUUACGUUCACCUACCCUUAUGGGGGUGCACAACCACUGAGGACCCCUGAUGAAGGGCAGUACCAUGUGUGGACAGGAGGAAGAUGGUUGUACAGCACAUGCUAACCAUGUGAUAGCAGAGGUUUCCCCGCCUGGUAAGAGCGGUCUUGACCAAUCGUAAAUACACAUGGUUACUGUGUGUGGUGUCUGGUCUAGCAAGAUUAUGCAUGGUGAUGAACUGGCUAUGUGCCAUUACCCUGGAAACCAGAUGGGAAAAACCACAAGGGAACACUAUGAGACAGUACUUUUGCAAGACAUUAGGGACCCUCCCCACCAAACCACUGAAGACAGCAGACCAAUGGGAUGCUACUGGAUCCAUGGUGGUGACCGUCUCUUGCAAUCUACAAAAUUGCAUCUAUCAUAUGACACUGAAAACUGGAUCGUAUAAAUGAAAGUUCCAGAGACUUGAAAGUAUUGGCACUCUACCUGACCUUUCUAUAAAUGAACGUAGUUCCUGCUUCGAAGAAUUAGUGCAAUUUUAAAGGAACAUCUUUGGAAAACUCCAGGCUAUGUAUCUUACUACCUUCCCUGCUUUGCUGCUGGAGUAGAAAACAUAUAGAAAAACAAACCCAAGGCCAAGCUGCCGACAGACAACUUCAGCAUCUGCAUCAUCCCACUGAUCAUCACAGAUAGUGCCCCACUGGCCCGCAUGGUAGACUUCUACUCUUCCUUCGUAAGCGUUGUUUCCACCAACCAGCCGGAUCGGAGUAAAGACAGAAGCUGUGAUCAAACACAGAUUAUAGGAACAGGGAAGAGCUACAUGUGACAGCAGCAGCCAUUUUUUGAGGACACGUUCCAUCCUGCCAGAUGUCUUUUUCACAUGACAAUAUAGUUGCUUCAUCACCACGACAACGCACUUUGCUCCAGUAAACAGGAAUAAGGCCCAGUCCAGAAAAUGGAGCUGAAUUUGCAUUUUUAAAGCUUCCUGGAGAAUUCCCAAUGGCAACAGUGGAAGAAUUUAUUCAUGUACACAGAGUAAAAGAUGAUACCAGAGAUAACUUUCUCACAUCAGCAAGUCGUUUCCCAACAAUUAAAAAUGAAAUAAAUGUGAAAUCCUUUGCCUGUCUGAUGGAAGCCUCAUGAAAGAAGUCUGAGAAGCAUGGAGAUCUCGCUGUGGACACGUACUGUUAAACAAAGAAAACAGACUUCACCCUGCUGCCCACUUGCCCAGAGAACCCCAGGUGACUUAUGGUCCUCCUUGAGGUGGAAAAACAUACUACUGGUAUCAGUUGGUAAGGAAGGGACAAAGACUGGAAGGGACAGAGCCUUAUUUCCGUGUGCCUCUGUGACAAGAC